AUGGGAUGAAACAGCACAUUUUCCUACAGCAUUCAUCUCAUGCAGUGUUAGCAGCUUUGUCCUGUUGCUCGUGAUGGUCGUCUGACUUCAAUGUCUGCUCCUCCUCCUUCCUACUUUCCAAACCUGGUCGCAUGUUCAAGUCCAAUAUCCCACCUCCGACCACAGCGCUGAGCCUGCCUGGCCUAGGAGAAAGGGCCAAGGACCAUGCAAUAAAUGUGGCCGCCUCAUGGAGACAGGAUCCAUGAAUGUGAAAGAGAAGCCAAUAAAAAACACCCUUAGAGGUAAGCCAGGGGGCAGUGCCUAAUGUUUCGGAGGCAGAAGAAACUGGUACAGGCUGAGGGCUGAAGGGAG
ensembl:lncRNA